GAUGAACGCUAGCUACAGGCUUAACACAUGCAAGUCGAGGGGAAACGACAUCGAAAGCUUGCUUUUGAUGGGCGUCGACCGGCGCACGGGUGAGUAACGCGUAUCCAACCUGCCCACCACUUGGGGAUAACCUUGCGAAAGUAAGACUAAUACCCAAUGACGUCUCUAGAAGACAUCUGAAAGAGAUUAAAGAUUUAUCGGUGAUGGAUGGGGAUGCGUCUGAUUAGCUUGUUGGCGGGGUAACGGCCCACCAAGGCGACGAUCAGUAGGGGUUCUGAGAGGAAGGUCCCCCACAUUGGGACUGAGACACGGUCCAAACUCCUACGGGAGGCAGCAGUGAGGAAUAUUGGUCAAUGGACGAGAGUCUGAACCAGCCAAGUAGCGUGCAGGAUGACGGCCCUAUGGGUUGUAAACUGCUUUUAUAAGGGAAUAAAGUGAGUCUCGUGAGACUUUUUUCAUGUACCUUAUGAAUAAGGACCGGCUAAUUCCGUGCCAGCCGCCGCAGUAA
rnacentral:rRNA from 1 species